rnacentral:rRNA from 1 species
UACGUAGGGUGCGAGCGUUAAUCGGAAUUACUGGGCGUAAAGCGUGCGCAGGCGGCUUCGCAAGUCAGACGUGAAAUCCCCGGGCUUAACCUGGGAAUGGCGUUUGAAAGCUACGGAGCUGGAGUGUGGCAGAGGGAGGUAGAAUUCCACGUGUAGCGGUGAAAUGCGUAGAUAUGUGGAGGAAUACCGAUGGCGAAGGCAGCCUCCUGGGCCAACACUGACGCUCAUGCACGAAAGCGUGGGGAGCAAACAGG